CCAUGAUCCAUCUCUCUCUCUCUCUCUCUCUCUCUCUCUCUCUCUCUCUACCUACAUACAGUGAGCAAAGACAUGCCAUUUUUGCAGUUUUAACUUAAAUUUAUGAGAAGGGUUGUGAUAAAAGUAUGGAGAAUCUGUAAAGCUCAGGAGGGAUAGCGCCAUUGAUAAACGAUCAUAUAUAACUCUCGGCCAGCCACCGUCUUUGGUGGUGGUGCUGGUGCUGGUGCUGGUGGACAAGGGUUGUGAUCGUGAAGGUAGAUCUAUAACGCUAUCCAUCCUGAGUUUCAUGGUUUCUUUGUACUGCGUACCUCUCGUACAAAUGAUGUUAAGGCUUCCAUGUUUGCAGAGGUAGAAAUGAUGACUCCAAUUGGGUACGGCCUUGCUUAAUUAAUGCAUGUUAAUUUUUACACAAUUACUACUCGUGCAUGUAUUUUAAAGUAAUUUAUGAAAUUUUUAUCUUGUUAUUGCCACAUAUUUGGACAUUAUAUCUGACAAAAUGAUAUUUCUUGAUUUAAUCGAUGUUAAAAAGUUUGCAUUUAACCAUAUUUUUCUCGAUUUAAAGACUAAUUUUUCUUCAGGAGAUCAAGAACUUGGUUGCUAAAGCAGUACUUCUUGGAGAAAACAUUAUGAAAACCAGGGCCAGUUUAUGCAAUGUUGAGAUUGGAAUUGGUGGUGCAGAUUACGUUGAGUGAAGAGAUUUAUUUUUGUGAAUAUUAUUGUAUAAUUUAAUGUUGGGAGGCAAGAAAUCUUGCUACUUGUACAGAUUUUUUGUAAAUGGCAGAAUUUAAUUGGUUAGUUUAACUUUGAUUUUUAUUCAAGAUUUAAUGAAAUCUUGUCAGUGGACAUUCAAUCAAUCUGUAGACCUUAACACGUAGCAUUUCUCAUCUGCAUUAUUAUUUGGAAAAGAAGACUGAUUACAAAAAUUGACUGAUAACCAUUUUUAUUCAGGCCCUGGCUUGAUCGGGCUUUUCCUGAAGUUUCUAUAUUUAUUGCUAAACUUAGAUUUCUGCAGUUCCUGCCCAGAUGUACAGG
rnacentral:lncRNA from 1 species